rnacentral:rRNA from 2 species
AAAUUGAAGAGUUUGAUCAUGGCUCAGAUUGAACGCUGGCGGCAGGCCUAACACAUGCAAGUCGAACGGUAACAGGAAACAGCUUGCUGUUUCGCUGACGAGUGGCGGACGGGUGAGUAAUGUCUGGGAAACUGCCUGAUGGAGGGGGAUAACUACUGGAAACGGUAGCUAAUACCGCAUAACGUCGCAAGACCAAAGAGGGGGACCUUCGGGCCUCUUGCCAUCGGAUGUGCCCAGAUGGGAUUAGCUAGUAGGUGGGGUAACGGC